UGUACUGUGAGCUCUCCCCUGGAACCUGAGCUGUAGGUCUAGCGAAGCCGCUGCUGAUCCAGUCAACUUUAUCACUGAUCUUCCUACUAAGGGCGGAGGAUGUGUCUGCGAAUUCAUCGCAGCUCUCUCCCCAGCACCGACCCAGAGAACAAGCAUCUCUCUUCUCCUCAGUACUCCACGCAGUCCUAUUCUCUGCUCUGUCAUUUUGCCUCUUCCACUCUUAUGCGAGAAAGGGAUAAAAUGUAUCUGGCGUUAUCUUGGAAGGAUGGCAGCGCACACGAAACAGAACCACUUCAGAGAGUUCACAAUUACAGCACGUUGAAGCUGAUGAAAAAAACAUCAGCAGAGGUGGACUCAAUUAUCAUGCUGAAUUUGGGAACAAAAUGGGCCUAGAUUGGGCAAAUAUAUCAAGAACACUGUAAUUACAGGCAAAGUACAUCCCCGUCCUAGACAGACCACUUUGGGAGUUUCAGUGAGUGCAUCUUCCAGGGAGACUGCGCAGCAUGUCACCAGUUCCCCAAUCGAACGCCAACCCAAGAUGGCAAGAUGAAAAGACAAACUGGAUCAGUGCCUCCCUGUGGACUGCCGUUUAUCAAAGAGAGCAGGGAGGAUGUAAUUAAUGGCGUUUGGGCAAUUCUUCUUCAGAGUAUACACUUUAUCAGGCUUGUAAGCAGAUCCCCCGAUAAACACUAUAUAAACAGCAAUGCUGAUGAUUCUGAGAUUGCAGGCUCCACUCCAGACUGUGCGGUUCACUCAAAAAGAGCAUGGAUAUCGAAAAGAAGAGCAAGACUGGUAAUGAGGGGAAAACUGACAGGACCGUUUCUCUCCGGGCGUGCUGCAGGGGGAGGGGCAAUGGAUUGCGAAGGAUUUGCGUAGAUCCUCACCUGUGCUAUUCCGGGCACGCAGGAGCGCUUGCUGAGAGAGCGCCGGUGUCUCUGCAGCUGAUGAAGGAGCGUGUGGGGACGUGUUUCAUUCCCUGUGUGUCCCUGGCCCGGCUCACCAUGAAUGUGUCACCUGGCACCAAAGGGCCUUACAAGGGACAGAGAUACAUUCCCUCUUGUUCCAUUCCAACAUCAGAAACUCUCCACUAACAAGCUCCCUGCCAUCCGUCUUCCUCAGUAUCACACUGAUGGAACUGGUGUGAAAGGCACGCAGGCAGCCAGUGUAUCAGAGGCUGUGCAUUCUACUGUUACAAAACAAGAGCGUGCAAGCAAAUAAACUGUUCAUGUAGAAAAUCCCCCCUCACUCCCAAUUACACAGAC